ensembl:lncRNA
CAUCAUGGUUUUUUCCAAUGAGUUGGCUCUUCGCAGCAGGUGGCCAAAGUACUGGAAAAUCAGCUUCAGCAUCUGUCCUUCCAAAGAAUAUUCAGGUGACCAAGAGCAGAUGUUGACACCAGGGAAAGACCAGAGGGAACUGGAGGGGUGAUGGCCAAAAGGCCCAAUUCCCUGGACUGCUGAUUUUGGAGAACCUUGCCCGGUCUUUGGAAUAGGCCAAGUUGAACAAGUCAGACCUGAAACUUCACGAACUCUCCAAGUUGAGUUCUUGGGCCGAGCAUUUAUAUUUAAUUGUGUGUUGUCACCAGUCAUCUGCUGCUCCAAGAAUACAGAACACUGCUUCCAAAGCAGAUACCUUUUUUGGAGCUGCACUUCCCGAAUCUUGACAACUAGAGUCAAAACGGCGCCUGGCAGCAUAGCUGACAACUGCACACAGGCGAGUGGUUGGAAUCACUCGACUCAAAGAUCUGGAAAGCUUCCACCUCCCUGCAUGCC